rnacentral:rRNA from 1 species
AUUGAACGCUGGCGGCAUGCCUUACACAUGCAAGUCGAACGGUAACGGGUCCUUCGGGAUGCCGACGAGUGGCGAACGGGUGAGUAAUAUAUCGGAACGUGCCCAGUAGUGGGGGAUAACUGCUCGAAAGAGCAGCUAAUACCGCAUACGACCUGAGGGUGAAAGGGGGGGAUCGCAAGACCUCUCGCUAUUGGAGCGGCCGAUAUCAGAUUAGCUAGUUGGUGGGGUAAAGGCCUACCAAGGCAACGAUCUGUAGUUGGUCUGAGAGGACGACCAGCCACACUGGGACGGAGACACGGCCCAGACUCCUACGGGAGGCAGCAGUGGGGAAUCUUGGACAAUGGGCGCAAGCCUGAUCCAGCAAUGCCGCGUGCAGGAAGAAGGCCUUCGGGUUGUAAACUGCUUUUGUCAGGGAAGAAAUCUUCUGGGCUAAUACCCCGGGAGGAUGACGGUACCUGAAGAAUAAGCACCGGCUAACUACGUGCCAGCCGCCGCCGUAAAAC